UACGGAGGGUGCAAGCGUUAUCCGGAUUUACUGGGUUUAAAGGGUGCGCAGGCGGAUAUGUAAGUCAGUGGUGAAAUCUUCCCGCUUAACGGGAAAACUGCCAUUGAUACUAUAUAUCUUGAAUGCUGUGGAGGUAAGCAGAAUAUGUCAUGUAGCGGUGAAAUGCUUAGGGAUGACAUAGAAUACCUAUUGCGAAGGCAGCUUACUACGCAGAUAUUGACGCUCAUGCACGAAAGCGUGGGGAUCAAACAGG
rnacentral:rRNA from 1 species